rnacentral:rRNA from 1 species
UCCGGUGGUUCUGAAUGGAAGGGCCAUCGCUCAACGGAUAAAAGGUACUCCGGGGAUAACAGGCUGAUACCGCCCAAGAGUUCAUAUCGACGGCGGUGUUUGGCACCUCGAUGUCGGCUCAUCACAUCCUGGGGCUGAAGUAGGUCCCAAGGGUAUGGCUGUUCGCCAUUUAAAGUGGUACGCGAGCUGGGUUUAGAACGUCGUGAGACAGUUCGGUCCCUAUCUGCCGUGGGCGCUGGAGAACUGAGGGGGGCUGCUCCUAGUACGAGAGGACCGGAGUGGACGCAUCACUGGUGUUCGGGUUGUCAUGCCAAUGGCACUGCCCGGUAGCUAAAUGCGGAAGAGAUAAGUGCUGAAAGCAUCUAAGCACGAAACUUGC